CCCCCCCGAAACCGAGGGGGGGCCCUCACCGCGCCCCGGCGUCUCCGCUGCUCCGUUUUGGGGCCGAUUCCGCCAAUUUGCGCCGAUUUUCGGUCAGCUUCACCACGCUCCGGCUCGCCUCCCGUUUUUUAACUCUGCCUCCGCCGUCUUCUACUUCCUCUCUUUUUCUUCUAUUUCCUCUAUUUUCGCCUUUUUCUCCUCUUCUAGGCUCCUAUUUCCUCCUCUCUUCACCAAUUUCCUCUGGUUUUCUUCCUCAGUUUCUCUCCUCUCCAUCCUCCAGCGCCUCUUCUCCUCUUCUAGCUCCUUUUUUUUCCCGUUUUCCUCAAUUUCACCAAUUUCCACUGGCUGCUCCUAGUUUCUCCUCUUUUUUUUUAUUUUUCUCUUUUUUUUCCUAUUUUCUCCUCAAACGUUUAAAUGCAAUUUUCUGCCUUUUUUUUCCUUGUAUUUUCUUGUUCUAUUUUCCCCUUUUUCUAUUUUCUUUUUUUUCUAUGUUCUAUUUUCCUUUUCUAGUCUCUUCUAUUUUCUUUUCUUCUCUAUUUUCUAUUUUUUUCAUUUUCUUUUUUCUAUUUUCUUUUUUUUUUCUAUUUUCUUUUUUUCUAUUUUCUGACCUCUUCUUUUUUUUCUAAUUUUCUUUUUUUUCUAUUU
rnacentral:lncRNA from 1 species